rnacentral:lncRNA from 1 species
UUCACAGCUAGAAUCUCCUAUGAUAUGGCUAUAGUAUAUAGUUCAAUGUAAUCAAACUCUAGACCUAGACUCUAAGACUCUCUACGAUUGGACUGGACUUUAGACACUAUGCGACUCUUCUAAUAUACAAUAGACUCGAUACAAUCUAGACUCUAAGACACUCUAUGACUGACUAAGGGUUGGUGGAUCCUAGACACUCUAGAAUCU